GUGGGUAUGUUUUAUUGAAGGAGGCUCAGAGAGGAGAAGUGAUUUCCUCAGUAGCGCAUAGCCAGAAAGUGGCAGAGCCUGGGUUGGAAGCCAAGUUUGCCUGACUCUGGGCUUCAUUCCCUGCAGAGGGUCGGGACCUUACUGGCACCACGAUACCCCUGUCACACCGUGGACCAGAUCCACGAAUGUCAGAUGAUGAGAGAAGGGGGAAAUGAUCUACAAACUUCAAAUCCAGUUUACAGAUGCAAAACCUGAAGCCCAGAGAGGAGAGAAGGCUUGCCCAAGUGCCUGCUAUGAAGAAAAAGACUUUACGAUGUCCCUUUCAGACAGAGGUUCCAGACUGUCUGGAGACAUUUUUGGUUUUCACAUCUGAGAUUGCUACUGGCAUCUAGUGAGAAGAAAUGAAGGUUGCUGCAAGACAUCUACCAAGGCACGGGACACCUUAAAUGUCACUAAUGCCAAAGCUGAAAAACCCUGCCCUACGACUUUGCCCUCUGCCUAACUGGAGCUUCCAAGUGGGCUCCCUGAGCACUAGGACUCAAGGACACUGUAUAUAGUCUCUCCUAGAGUCGUGCCUGUCCCAUCUUCCUGUGCCUAACAUUGCUCAGCUGGUCAAUUCCACUUUUGGGCUCCAGUGUUCUAAAUUCACUGACUUACAGAGGCGCCAGUAUUAUUACUAUUUGCCUUCCUAACUGUUCCCUGAAGGCAGGCAAAGCAAGUAGUCUCCCUGCUGAGGGCAUGGAUUACAAUGUGACUGGGGAAUGGAAAGGGGAGGGGGAGGGGGGGAAGGAAAAUGACUGGGAUUAUUUAAUAAAAACAACCCUCCUGAGGAUGGUGGAGGUGAAGGACAGGGAGAGCAGAAUCUGUGAAGAUGUAGAAGAGAUGGGAGGAAUCCAGACUGCUCUGUGCUCCUCCCAUGUGCCCCAUCACAAAGCCGUGUAAACCAGUGGCUCCCUUGGGAAUUGAGGUCCCUUUGCACAUCUGAUGAAAACUUGGACACUCCCUCUGGAGAAAUGUGCAGAUGUACACUUCUUACAUAAUUUCAGGGACCCCAAAGCUCCAUAAUGGCUUCCAGAAGGAUUGGGCAGGGGGUAGAGGGAGGGAUAGAGGUUCAUCCUUAAGUGCACAUAGGAGAAUAAACAUGCAGGGACAAAAAAAUAAAGCUGGAAAAAAGGAAUGAAAAGGGAUUUGCCUUACCUGGUUUCCCCUCCCCCCACCCACCCUCCGAAUAGUGCAGCUUAUGGGAUCUUACUUCCUGGACUGGAGAUUGAAGCCAUGCUUAGCAGUGAAAGUGCCCAGUCCUAACCCCUGGACCUCCAGGGAAUUUCUGCACGUUACCUGAUACUAAAACAUAUUCAGGGGGCUCCCCUGGUGGCUCAGUGGUAAAGAAUCCACCUUCCUAUGCAGGAGACACGGGUUCAAUCCCUGGUCCGGGAAGACCCCACAUGCUGUGGAUCAACUAGGCCCAUGCACAAC
ensembl:lncRNA